AUUGAACGCUGGCGGCAGGCCUAACACAUGCAAGUCGAGCGGAUGAAGGGAGCUUGCUCCUGGAUUCAGCGGCGGACGGGUGAGUAAUGCCUAGGAAUCUGCCUGGUCGUGGGGGAUAACGUCCGGAAACGGGCGCUAAUACCGCAUACGUCCUGAGGGAGAAAGUGGGGGAUCUUCGGACCUCACGCUAUCAGAUGAGCCUAGGUCGGAUUAGCUAGUUGGUGGGGUAAAGGCCUACCAAGGCGACGAUCCGUAACUGGUCUGAGAGGAUGAUCAGUCACACUGGAACUGAGACACGGUCCAGACUCCUACGGGAGGCAGCAGUGGGGAAUAUUGGACAAUGGGCGAAAGCCUGAUCCAGCCAUGCCGCGUGUGUGAAGAAGGUCUUCGGAUUGUAAAGCACUUUAAGUUGGGAGGAAGGGCAGUAAGUGAAUACCUUGCUGUUUUGACGGUACCAACAGAAUAAGCACCGGCUAACUUCGUG
rnacentral:rRNA from 1 species